AUGUACACACACACACACACACACACACACACACACACGCCCAUUGGCAGACACGGCCACACCUCACAGCCCUGGGGGAAGCCACAGAGCUCAGCCGUACAAGCUGAGCCUAGACUAGAGGAACUUUCCGCAGUACUGAGGACAAACAGCCCCGCGGCCACGACGGUCUGCCAGCCUGAGGCUCAGGCGGGCGCCGGCGGCAGCAGGUACGCGGUGCGCACCCGCGUCGGGGCCUGGGCGGUGCGGUGGCGGCGGGAGGGUCCCGCGAGCUGCAGAAGUCGGUGCCAGUGUGCGCGCGCCGACCGGCCUGAGCGAGCCGCAUCCCCGGGCCGCCCCUGGCAGCCUCCUCGCCCCCGGUGAGCCGCCGCCGCCCCUCCCUGCCGGCCUCGGGCGCCCUCGGGCAGUCCCCGCCGCCCGCCCCAGCCCGGAACAUGGCUGCGCGCCCCGCCGCCACCCUCGCCUGGUCGCUGCUGCUGCUCUCCUCGGCCCUGCUCCGCGGCGGCUGCCGGGCGCGCUUUGCCGCCGAGCCGGACUCGGAGGACGACGAAGAGGAGGCGGUGGUUUUCCCCGAGUCGCCGCUGCAGAGACCCACGGUGCUGGUGGCCGUCCUCGCCCGCAACGCUGCGCACACGCUGCCACACUUCCUCGGCUGCCUGGAGCGGCUGGACUACCCCAAGAGCAGGAUGGCCAUCUGGGUAGCCACUGAUCACAAUGUGGAUAAUACAACAGAAAUACUCAGGGAGUGGUUGAAAAAUGUACAGAGACUCUACCACUAUGUGGAGUGGAGGCCCAUGGAUAAGCCAGAGUGA